AAUUUCCCCUUGAAAAAGCCGAUGUUCUGUAACAUCGAAGGAUAAGUCUCUCGGAAGAGCACGCGACGGGACGAUUUGAAUCUCCGAAUUACUUCGAGUGAAGUAUUUAUUCAUUUCAAGAAUGAAUCGCCUGCAAAUAGCGUUUCUGAUGAUUGCUCUGAUCAUGGGAAUAAUCCAUCGCUUCCUGGAAAUUCCUCUUCGACUUUUCAAAAAAUUACCGAUCGGGUGAGUGAGGGGGGCAGCAGAAGAACUAUUCCAGCCGAUGGAUUAUAUUCCUGGCGGAAAUUUGGAGGGAAGAGUCGGUUAUAAUGGCGGAAAAUUUUAUUUUGUUGUUAUUCUAAUAAAAUGAAGUGAUGUUUGGAAGAAA